rnacentral:rRNA from 2 species
UGGAAGUAAAAGUCGUAACAAGGUCUCCGUUGGUGAACCAGCGGAGGGAUCAUUACCGAGUUUACAACUCCCAAACCCAAUGUGAACGUUACCAAACUGUUGCCUCGGCGGGAUCUCUGCCCCGGGUGCGUCGCAGCCCCGGACCAAGGCGCCCGCCGGAGGACCAACCUAAAACUCUUAUUGUAUACCCCCUCGCGGGUUUUUUUAUAAUCUGAGCCUUCUCGGCGCCUCUCGUAGGCGUUUCGAAAAUGAAUCAAAACUUUCAACAACGGAUCUCUUGGUUCUGGCAUCGAUGAAGAACGCAGCGAAAUGCGAUAAGUAAUGUGWAUUGCAGAAUUCAGUGAAUCAUCGAAUCUUUGAACGCACAUUGCGCCCGCCAGUAUUCUGGCGGGCAUGCCUGUUCGAGCGUCAUUACAACCCUCAGGCCCCCGGGCCUGGCGUUGGGGAUCGGCGGAGCCUCUCUGUGGGCACACGCCGUCCCCCAAAUACAGUGGCGGUCCCGCCGCAGCUUCCAUCGCGUAGUAGCUAACACCUCGCGACUGGAGAGCGGCGCGGCCACGCCGUAAAACACCCAACUUUUCUGAAGUUGACCUCGAAUCAGGUAGGAAUACCCGCUGAACUUAAGCAUAUCAAUAAGCGGAGG